rnacentral:rRNA from 1 species
CAGUCGCCACGGUAAUACGAACCGUGCGAACGUUAUUCGGAAUUACUGGGCUUAAAGCGCGUGUAGGCGGGCCGCCACGUCGGUUGCUGAAAUCCCCCGGCUCAACCGGGGAAGUGGCAUCGAUACGAGCGGCCUUGAGGGGGGUAGGGGGAUCUGGAACUUCCGGUGGAGCGGUGAAAUGCGUUGAGAUCGGAAGGAACGCCCGUGGCGAGAGCGAGGUCCUGGACCCUUUCUGACGCUGAGACGCGAAAGCCAGGGGAGCGAACGGGAUUAGAUACCCCCGUAGUCCCUGUCUCUUAUA